GUCAACAAGGACAAAAAAGAGGCAGAGGAGAUCUUCCAGAGGACUAUGAGAAAUCGUUUGGAGUCUUUCAAGUCGGCAAAGAUGGGCAUUGCUCCAAAGACAGUCGCAAAGUACCCCAAAAAAACUCCAUGACCUUAAGAUGUCAAGUGGGAAACUUUACCGUUACGGUAACGAAGAGCCCGAUAUCGGAGAGGAGGACAGCACCUCCAGCUUCGAGGCAUCAGAUGAUUCACUCCC